GAUGAACGCUGGCGGCGUGCCUAAUACAUGCAAGUCGAGCGAACGGACGAGAAGCUUGCUUCUCUGAUGUUAGCGGCGGACGGGGGAGUAACACGUGGAUAGCCUACCUAUAAGACUGGGAUAACUUCGGGAAACCGGAGCUAAUACCGGAUAAUAUUUUGAACCGCAUGGUUCAAAAGUGAAAGACGGUCUUGCUGUCACUUAUAGAUGGAUCCGCGCUGCAUUAGCUAGUUGGUAAGGUAACGGCUUACCAAGGCAACGAUGCAUAGCCGACCUGAGAGGGUGAUCGGCCACACUGGAACUGAGACACGGUCCAGACUCCUACGGGAGGCAGCAGUAGGGAAUCUUCCGCAAUGGGCGAAAGCCUGACGGAGCAACGCCGCGUGAGUGAUGAAGGUCUUCGGAUCGUAAAACUCUGUUAUUAGGGAAGAACAUAUGUGUAAGUAACUGUGCACAUCUUGACGGUACCUAAACAGAAAGCCACGGCUAACUACGUG
rnacentral:rRNA from 1 species